GCGCCUCAUCACGCCACCUCGCACUGUGAAAGGUUCCAAUGGAAGUUGUCAUGUUUAAUCUGCGUAAAAGGAAAGUCCCGAGGAACAGCUGUGCGGGUGGAUGUGGCCGAUGGAACGGCCCGAGACAAACUAAACUCCAAGCAAUUUAACCCCACUAGUCCCCAGCAGCAAUCCAAGCCUCGUCCUUCAACCAGCAUAAGACUGGAGAUGGUCCAAUAAAAUUGGCUCAUUAAGAAACGCCCAAGAACCAAUCGCAAGGUGAUCGUUAGCAUACCUUCGAGAAACUUCGGGGGGAUUAAGGCGGAGGACUUAUCAGAGCCAUCGGUCACCGCCUAAUGAGCCAUUGACAACGACACCGAGCACUUGGAGCCGCGGAAACUUGGGAGAUAUCAUUUUUCAGUCGGAGCUAAUACGGAAUAUCUACCACUUGGUACUGAAUCCCGGGGAUUCGCUAUCUUGGAUGGGGACUAUUGCAUGUGACCCAAAUAUUAUCUCUUUCAAUCUGCUAAAAGGGGAGGAUUCUUCAUGGGGCUGUGCUGAUCGUCGCUGCUGAGGAUGUGAAAAAUCGCCCAAGUAGGCGAUUUUGGAAUUGCAUCGUUGAUGGCGACUGCGGUAAUGUGAUUAUCAAGAUCUUGUUUACGUAGGUAAACGAUUUUUCGCGCGGGGAGGCAUAGAGAUAAUUGUUGAAUUAAAGAUAUUGGAGUUGAUAGAGAAAUUUUUUUAGUUUUUGGGUCCUUGAUGAGGCGUACGUUAUUACAUUCCGGAGUCCAAAAAUUUCGUCGGUUUCAGAGAUUCUUUCAGAGUUAACAACGAUCAAUAGUACCAAUGUUAAUAAACUCUUAGAGUGACUAUAUAAUAACGAAAUCAUUGCAAUUCUCGACCGAAAAUAUAGUGAUGCCGCGAGACUUGCUACGCGGAAAAAUUUAUAUUUUGAAAAAUAUUGAAAACAAUAUCUU